GAACAAGAAACUAAAAGUGUUAUGGUUUCGACCCAUAAAUAUGGUUACACCAGUACCCUUGUUUU
rnacentral:tRNA from 1 species